AAGAGUUAUAGAAUCCGCUGUUUCAUCAGGAACCCCACCCCCCAACAGUCAUCUUCUUCGACACACCAUUCACACAAAACUUAAGAGCUAAAGAAACCAACUCGUUACACCCUAAAAAUGUGAUCUCCUUCAGCACUUUAGACCCCUAGAGACAAAAAAGCUACAACAGCCAUAUAACUCCAAGAUAGACCCCUCCCCAUCGGAAUUCCAACUUCUUCUUCAUUGGGAUACAAUACAAAACCCUAAAAGCCUAAGUAAAAUAGGAGCGUCUAAGCCUUAGCACACCUAGGACCUUUCUCCUUCACCUUAAGCCAAAUGACCCCAUCUCCCACAACUAGACAGCUUCACGCACACACGCACAUGGUGAAAACAGUGAGGAGUCCAAGAGCUCGUUUAACAUUCUUUUCCGACGAGUCUCGAGUUUUUCUGGUUGAGUUUCGAUGACUAUUCUGUUGGUCCCUUGUCGAGGUUGAAUCCAUCUUGGAACUCGUUUGUGAGAUCUGUUCAGCGCCAGAUAUUGAAGUGUUGAGUUCAUCGAGGUCGGGUGCAUCGAGGUCGAUUUAGAAGUCCGUUUGAGGUCCCAUCACCGGUCUGAGUUUUCAGUCGGUACCUCAUUUGAAUGUCACUUCUUUGUAUGCAGCAGAAGGUUAGAGUUCUAUCAACAAAGGAUUCUUCUUUUAAUUUACUAUUUCCCUUUAAUUAUAUAAGGCUCUGUUUUGGGUUAGAAAUGUCUAAAUGUUGUAUUGCCUUUUCGUUUCUUUCGUUGUUUUGUUUUUCCUUGUUUGAUUGAAAUCAGUUUUGCAAGAAACUGAAAUAUGAACUUCUCAUUCAUGUUGUCAAUUUGGUUAAUUUGAUAAAUCCAUGUUAGGCUAAGAAAGUAAAUAAGUAAAUAAUGUUUUAAAGGAAAUUUAUUUUUUUAAUAAUGUUCAUUUUAGAAUUCUGUUGCUUGGCUGAUGUUCUGUUACUUGUUUUGAUUAUUUUAAUUUCUUAUUUCAUGAAAGAAAGAUGAAUAUUCGUAGUUUGCUUUAGGCGCGUUAAUUAAAUAAAUUAUCAUGGUUGUGGGUAUGGUUCCCGUGACGUAGUUGUGAUGCCUAAUUUCUAAAUUCGGAGGUACAUUUAUGUGAACCAGCCACAAUUUAAUCUUUUUAAUAAAAUAAACACGGUGUGGAUUGUGGGUACGGCUCCCGUGAUAUGAUUCGCAAACGUGUAAUCAAUAAUUAGUUGUAUAAUAAUUGGAUUAUUAAGGCGGUUUAAAGGGAGUAAAAUGCACAUAGGUUUUAAAGAUGUUUUAAAAUAAAAAUAAAUAGGCCAAUAAUAACAGCUGAGCGAUCGUGCUAAAACCACAGAACCCGGGAAUGCCUAACACCUUUUCUCGGAUUAACAGAAUUCCUUACCCGGAUUUCUGUGUUCGCGGACUGAAAACAGAGUCAAUCUUUCCUCGAUUUGGGAUUUUAAACUGAUGACUUGGGACACCAUAAAUUAUCCCAAGGGGCGACUCUGAAUUUUAUAUAAAAUAAUCCCGUUUCGAUUGUCACUUAAAUUGGAAAAAAUUCCUUAUACCCUUCCGGGGGUAGGAAAAAAGAGGUGUGACAAAGGGGAUCCUUGCCAUUAUGUGUAACCCCUAUUGUUGCUCCAACCGUUCUACAAAGGAUAAAUAACAACUCUCUCUCUCUCUCUCUCUCUCUCUCUCUCUCUCUCUCUCUUCUUUCUAGCAUAUCCUCCCGAUACUACUGCUAUAGCUUAUUACCUGUAUGUUUAUUCUUCAUAUAUUGCUUGUUAUUGGCCAUAAAGAGCCUCAUUUAAUUAUAUCCUAACUGUUAGCCCCUUCCUGAUUAUCCCCAAUAGCUCAAGUCCAAGCCCAGACAUCGACCUCGAGGCCCCUCGUCGGUUAGUCCGAGGCCUGGACAGCUAACCCCUCGGUUUGAUUAUAACUCUACUUUAGCUCACAUUUCAUCUUUUAUCUUCACAUAUUUAGCAUCAACUGCUUUAACAACUAGCAUAAAAAUAGAUCAUGUAUUUUUAGAGUCCCAUCAAUAAAUUUAAUUGUUAUUAUCAUUUUCACGGAAAACAGUUUGGUGCCCACCGUGGGGCUAAAAAUAAUAGUGAUUAAUUUCUUGUUGGUUUUGUUACAUAACGCAAGUUAUUUUUACAAUUUUUCUUGUCCAAGAUCUUCGAUUUCAAGUCAAAAUGUUUGGCUCAGUGAACAGAGUUGAGAACGACAACCUUGAAAAGCACGGAGAAAAUCGUGUGGCUAUUCUAAAUAUUGGCGCGCCACUACAGAACACAGACAACGCGCCUGGACCGAUUCCAGCGGACGUGGGUUCGCAAGAUGCACAGCAGGUCGACAAAACCUCACACACCGAUAGGAGCAUACAACAUGGCGACCAACAGGAAACCCAGAAAACCCCAGCUCGGGAAGAACAGGAAGUUAGCCUUCAUGUUAUUUUUGAAAUGUUGCAGGCACAAUAGUUGGCUAUCACUCAGCUGCAAAGCCACCCGAAGACUCCCAGCACGGUAGCACCGGGGACUUCUCCCCCAGCCGAAUAAAUACCUGAGAAAUCGAGCAACAACAGAUCGGUAGCCGACCCUACCAUCGUGAAAAUGCUCGAAGACCUCACCAAAAGGAUCGAAUUGAGCGAGAUUGAUAGUAGCCAACGAUAAUAAGGUCGAGACCUACAACUCCAGGGUCAAGCAUAUCCCGGGUGCACCCCCGGUCCUGAAGGGCGUGGAUUCAAGGAAGUUCAUACAAAGGCCAUUAUGCGAAGAAGCGGCCCCGAAACCCAUUCCAAAGAAGUUCAGAAUGCCAGAACUCCUAAAGUACAACGGGACCUCAGACCCCAAUGAACACGUUACUGCCUACACUUGUGUGGUAAAGGGCAACGAUAUAAAGAAUGAUGAGAUCAAGUCCGUAUUACUAAAAAAGUUCGGGGCAAUACUCUCGAAGGGGGCCAUGAUGUGGUAUCACAACCUAGAUCCCAAUGCCAUAGAUUCAUUUGCCAUGCUAGCAGACUCCUUCAUAAAGGCACACGCCGAUGCCAUCAAAGUAGCAACAAGGAAGUCCGACGUAUUCAAGAUUAAGCAGAGGGAGAAUGAAAUGCUGCGAGAAUUCGUAUCUCGCUUCCAAAAGGAACGAAUUGAACUACCCCCGGUCUCCGAUGACUAGGUGGUGCAGGCCUUCACUCAAGGCCUGAAUGAACGAAGCUCAGUGGCCUCACGGCAACUGAAAGAGAAUCUGAUCGAGUAUCCCGCCAUAACCUGGUCGGACGUCCACAACCGGUACCAAUCAAAGAUUAGGGUCGAGGAUGACCAGAUGGGAGCCCCUUCGGGCUCAGUAUAUCCGAGCAGACUCCUAGCGAAGGAGUCGAAACUAAACAAAGAGAGGUAUCAGUCGUACCCCGAAGAUAGGAGGAAUGCCUCGGGACGCAAUCGCAACGAUCGAUUGGUAAACCGAGGAUAGAACCCUUGGGGACUCAUCAAUAGAGGCGGAUUCGAUGGGGACAUGGGCUAACGGGGGCACCUCGCCUAUCAGAAUACAACUUCAACGUCGACGUAUCAGGCAUCGUGUUCGCCAUCAGCAAAAUCACGGAUGCCAAAUGGCCCAGGCCUAUACAGUCGCAUCCUUCACAAAGGAUUUAUAACUUGAUAUGCAAGUUUCGGCAACUCUGAGAGGAAGUGGCCUGGCUACUCGAUAACAGACACCUUCGGGAAUUCCUCGGCGACCGAGCUAAGAACCAGUCUCGAGAAAGAGAAACAACGAAAAAGAACAAAGUAGACGAAUCCCACCACGUCAUCCACACGAUAUUUUAAGACACGCCCUCGGCUGUAUUCAAAUAAAAGACCACAUCGUGUCCGCCAAACAAACGCCGAAAUCCAAGAGCGCCAUCUCCAAUAAGGUAUAAUCAUCUCCCCUUUUUUUCCUAUUUUUUACUUUAUGAUAACUUCUGUGCAGGCCAUCGACCAAAACAGUCAAGAUGUCGAUCCAGCUCGAGGACCUUGAGGUUUCGAAGCGUCUGUUGCACUCUUUUCCUUCGACCGAGUUUUUAUCCCAAAAUGGGUUUUUACCGACAAGGUCUUUAACGAGGCAACGUUCAAGCGCUACCCAAGGAAGAUCCGAAAAGCGUACAAGGCUUCUUUUGCAAUCAACCCCGAACAUUGGAGGGCACCCCCCUUGAGAGGUCCUCCACUCGGAAGAACCAGGGAACCAUAAACAAGGUUCCAAAAGGAAAUGAUGUACCGGGCCAAACGGUCAAAUGAACCGUGUCCGCAUAAGCCGGGCUCACGGCAACAAAACAACUUGUACUUAUGCCAAACAAUCAAAGAAUAUCUUUCGCCAAAGCAUCUUAUACCCCAAAGAAAAUUCAGCACUUUCACAGCAAGGAUCCCUCCACCAAGAAUGCCCCGAAAUACUCGGAGACUAGCGUCAAUAAGUCGCCACCCGUAUGGCCUCAGGGUUGGAACUCCAUACUCAUAAGCCCUCAACGAGGUAGCACGGAAAUCACGAAACAUCUCCAAAAGGGAAAAAUGUCCCGAACUCUCGGAGAUUGGCAUCGCAAACUCAGAAAGCGCAUGACCCCAGGGUCGGAAUCUCCAAAAUCAUAAGCCCCCAAUGAGGCAAUUCUGAGCUCACGAGCAAUGACCCCCGAUCCUAAGCAAACUCGAUGACUCGGAGACUAUCGCCAAUCACCAUUCACUUAAAAACCCAAGGCCAUAAGACCCCGAGCGGGCAGACUCGGUAUAGUAAGACCUAUUUAAGGCAUCAACAAAACUGUAAGACCUCAAGCAAGGCAUGAAUCAUACUUAUACCAAGUAUCAACAAAACUGUAAGACCUCAAGCAAGGCAUGAAUCAUACUUGUACCAAGUAUCAACAUAAUUGUAAGACCUCAAAAGGCAUGACAAUUUUGUAAGACCUUACUACAGGCAUAAACUCAAUCCCAAAGUUUAGGCUAUAUGUCGCAUUUGUAAGACUCCCGAAAGGGCAUACCCUCAAUAUAGACGCCUAAACUACUAGACUCAGGAUUAAAAAUGGCUCCGGCCAAACACAAAUGAAUAAGGUCAUAUGACUGUACUAGCCGAAUUAAUACGACUCAGGGAUGCCCGACCGUUCCUACAAAAUUAUAGGACAUUACUUCGAAUCUACUUCGAAAAGAACCGGUUAAACAUGCUACCCUCGACAAGCAAAAGAGCUUCGACCAUGUCAGCUCCAAAUCACAAGGCUUCGAGCUACUCAGCCUACGAGCCAAACAUUCCGAGGUGCUUGAACAUCGCCAGAAAUGACUUGAAAUCGAGGUUCUUCCCGAACCGACGACGGGUCAGGCAAAACCAUUUCAAAAAGUCCUUAACGAGAGGAAAACAAAGCCUACAUAUGCCUAAGGGCAAAACAUAAGAGCCAUUGUCGCCAGCCUAAUGAGCCCCAAGGCCACACACACUAAAAGGUCGCAAUGACCAAAAGCGUCAGAGCCACUGUCGCCAGCUUAAAAUUUAAAAGCUUGAGGGUCAAAUGAGCUCGAGUCGUAACCCGAUUCGGAGACCGAACCCAAAAUAGUUAAAUAUACAUGCCUAAGGGCAAAGCGUAAGAGCUAUUGUCGCCAGCCUAAUGAGCCUUAGGGCCGUACCACGGAUUUAAAGAUUUCUACUAGCUCAAAGGUCGAAUUGACCUGGUUGAAAUCUUGACAAAUAGAAACACAGAAGACACAAAUUGCGGGGUUCCCCCUUAUACAUACAGAUGAUAAUAUACAAGCUCCAUUUACAACAUACUGUGAAAGCUAUGUACACAAGAACAAGGCAGGAAGUAAACAUCCCCCCUCUAUGACUAUGGCCCGGUGGCCCUUCCUCGCCAUCUUCAGCAUCGGACAGAAAGAACCAUGCAUCAUACUCCUCCCCUUUGGCUUGCUCGAUCUCUUCCGAGAGAUCAAAGCCCCUGGCGUGAAUCUCCUCGAGAACUUCCCUCUGAGAUUUGCACCUCGCAUACUCCUUGCUACUAUUUGUACGAUCAAGGCCUCUCUUCAGUUCAACUUUAGCAACGACAACACUCUUCAAAUAGGACACCGCUUUCUGUCCCACCCUAGCAUUGCUCACUAAAACCUUGGCCCGGACAUUCACCAACUCGGCCUUCGCCUACAAAAGCUCGGACGAAAGCUUUGCGAUCAAUUCGCCCAUGUAGAAUCAUUCGCACGAACGGUCUGGAUUUGCACCUCAAGAGCAAAAAAUAUGGCUAAAGCACUCUCUUUGACCGCAAAAUGGGUACUUACAUGCGCCUGCAGCUCGUUGAAUUCAAGUUUGGCUCAACCAACCUUUCCCCAGGGCUGUCCCAGCUCAUCCGCUUUGUUCUCCAACUGAAAUAUCAAAACAUCAAGCUGCCGAGAUGAAAGGGGAGUGCAAGCCAGCAUAGAAUGCAAGGUACCUAUUUUUCUAAGCAGAUCUUACGGCUCCGGCUCUGGUCCACCUCGCAUCGUAGGGAAAUCAGCUCGCUUUCUUUUUCCGCACCAAGAAGCUUAAGGGAUUUUUCUCUACCCAAAGCCUCCCGCAAUGGGGCCUCACAGCGAAGCAGCUCAGAUUUGACCCUGUCAAAGGCCUGUGAAAGAAAACUAAAUGAAAAAAGAAAGGCACGGGACCGGAAUAAUCUUACAGUGAUCAAAAACUCACCAUAAGGCCGAGCCAAUAUCCAAUGGCUUACUACCUUCAGAAGGUAGCCGAUCGACCGAAUCGCUUCUUCUUAACUGCUGAGAAGGAGUCUUCCCACUGCAAGCUCUUUCGCACCCUGGAGCAUCUUUUUGUUUGUCUCGAUCUUAAGGCCAGCAAUCUCUCCUCCUGCCCCAGAGGACACAACCUCAUUUCAAAAAAAUCUCUGAUACCUGCAGCUGUUAAGUUAAUAAGCCGACAAGAAAAGCGCUAUUUUUAGGAAACACCGGACACCUACCACGAUUCUUUGCCUCCCAUCUCCUUUGGGACAGAUCUCACCACCGGUGCCUAUCAUAAAUUGAGCAAGUUGCCAACUUACGAGACCACUUAGCUAAAUUAGGGACCUCGUUCGGCGACCAAUGAGUUGCUAAAAAUAUGGGAUGGAAAGAUAUCAUUACGGAGCUCGCCUCCGAUCAAAACGAUGAUAGUUUAGGUGAGACACUUACGUGAGAAGUUCCAUUUCUCAGGAAAUGGCAAAAAUUCUCUAGGGAUGACAUCAGAUGUUCGAAUACGAACGAACCAUUUCAUCCAUCCACGAUCCUCGUCGUCUUUGCUACCGAUGACAGGAGCUCGGGUGGAUCGACGUUGCAGAGCGAUCAAACCCCGAUAACGCAGUAGCCGAUAUAACCUUACAAAAUGACUGAGGGUAAACUAUGAUGACCCAAGAGGUCAUCACUUAUUUCUAAAAUGAAUUCUACAUUCCGAGGCUUUAAAAAACCUCUUUUAGCAGUACCUCGAUUAGUGUGCGCAGUCCGGGCGCAUAGCCGAAAAGCUUAUAUGUGAAGAUCUGUGAAAAAUGAUAAAAUUUGACUAUAAAAUGAAUUAAUUUGACUUCGGUUAAUAUUUUGGGUAAACGGAAUCAGACCCGUGAUUUGAUGGUCCUGGAGGGUCUGUAGGAAAAUAUGGGACUUGGUCGUGUACCCGAAAUCAAAUUACGAGGUCCCACACCCGAGAAAUGAAUUUUUUAAAGAAAAUUGUUUUCUGAAAUUGUUUAAAGGAUUUGGAAAUGAAUUUUGAUUAGAACAUAUUGGUAUCAGGCCCGUGUUUCGGUUCUGGCGCCCGGUAUAGGUAUUAUAUAUGAUUUAAGAUAAUUCUGUGAAGUUUGGUAAGAAACAGAGUCCGUUUGACGGGAUUCGAACCUUAAUUGGAAAGUUUUGUGUUUAAAGAAAUUUUGAGAAAUUUCAUUGAUAUUGAGGUUUAAUUCGAUGUUUUUGAUGUUAUUUUGGUGAUAUGAGUACACGAAUAAGUCCGUGAGAUGUUUUUAAGGUUGUGCGUAUAUUUGGCUUGGAGCCCCGAGGGCUCGGGUGAGUUUUGGAUAGGCCACGGGGUACAUUUUGAACUUAUAAAAUUGCAGAAUUUUAGCUGGUGUACCCAGGACUACAGACUUCGCAAUGCGAGCUCGCAAAUGCAAAGGCUGAAUCGCGAAUGUGAAAACAGCCCAGGCCUGCCUUGCUCGCAAAUGCGAGUAUUCUUUCGCAAAUGAGAAAAUCCCUGUUCAGCCUUGGGCCGCAAAUGUGACCCUGUCAUCGCAAUUCUUAGCUCGCAAAUGUGACCCUCCCUUCGCACUUCCCAACAUAGCAGAGGUCGGCCCUGUUCGCAUUUCCCAUACCUCUGACCUGCAACUUUAUAUUUAGAGGAUUUUUAAACCCAUUUUUCAUAUCCUCUCAAAACAUAAACACCCUAGGAUGAUUUUUCAAAGGCUUAUUCCUCUCCAAAUCAAUUGUAAGUCAUUUUUAACUAGUUUUCUUUAAUCAUCAACAUCAUUUUAACAUGAUUUCAAUUUAAAAUCAAUGAUUUUCAUGGGGGAAAUUGGGUGUUUUGGGUAGAACCUAGGUUUUUUCAAAAAUUGGGGAUUUGGACCUCGAUUUGAGGUCCGAUUUCAAAACAAAUUAUAUAUUUGGGUUCGUGGGAGAAUGUGUAAUCGGGUUUCGAUUUGAACCUGGUUUUGACCAUGUGUGCCUGGGGCGAUUUUUGACUUUUUGCGCAAAACUUAAGGAAAUUCAUUUUUAUGCAUUCAAAUUGAUUCAUUUAGAAUUUAAUGAUGUAAUUAAGUAACUUGUGACUAGAUACGAGCGAAUUGGUAGUGGAAUCAAGGGAUAAAGCUGUAGUUGAAUCAUGAAUUGUGUUCAUGGCAUCAGGGUAAGUGUUUGGUCUAACCUUAGCUUGAGGGAUUAGGAGUUGUGUCCUAUAUGCUAUUUGCUUCUUGUUGAGUACGACGUAUAGGCAUGGUGAUGAGUAUCUAUACGUUGGUGUCGAGCAUGCCCCUGAGUCUUAAAUUGCAAUUUAUUGUGUUCUUAAAUGAUACUACGGAUGCUUUAAUUGAUGAUUCCCGAUAUUGAGCAAGGAUUAAGAUUGUUUUUUGGUGGAAGUUACUUAUGAUAGAGUAUUGGUGUUAACUGAGAUGGUUAGAUGUUGGGUUAAGAUUGGUUAUAGUUGUUUCUCCCUUGCCGGGACAUAUUUACUUUUACUGUCGAAUCCCUUGUCGAGAUACUGUAGUUAUUUGUUGAUCCCUUGCCGGGACUCUUGGUAUGGUUGUUGUUAAAGGUAUAUAAAUAUAAGGAUCGGGUUGCACGCCACAACAAUACUAUAUAUGGAUCGGGUUGCACGCCGCAACAAUGUUAUAUUGGAUAGGGUUGCAUGCCUCAAUAGUGAUAUAAAUGGAUCAGGUUGCACGCCGCAAUAGUGUUAUAUUGGAUCGGGUUGCACGCUGCAACAGUGAUACAAAUGGAUCGGGUUGCAUGCCGCAACAAUGGAAAAUAAUAGGGAUCAGGUUGCGCGCUACAACAGUGUCAUUAUUGUUUUGCUGUAGAUCUUGAAUUGUUCUUUCAUAUUUCUCUUAAGUUUCUACUAGAUUGAUAUUAUCCCCGUAGCAUGUACCCCCUCCCAUUUUAAUUGUUAUUCCUGUUUAUUUUCCUUUGUAUAUUAUAUAACUGCACAUGUUUAUCUGGUGUCUGGUCCUAGCCUCGUCACUACCUCGCCGGGGUUAGGCCAGACACUUACCAACACAUGGGGUCGGUUGUGUUGAUGCUACACUCUACACUAUUUGCAGAUUUCGGAGCAGUUCUUGGACAGUAGCACUUGGGGAGCCUGCCUUCAGUCCAGCUAGAGACCCCGAGGUAGUCAUGUAAGCAUUCAUAGGCCCGACGUUCUCGUCUACCUUAUUAUGUACUCUGUUUUCAUUUGAUUUUGAGAUAGAUUGUAUUUCUUUCAGACAAUUGUUGAAGUAAUCUUAGUCUGUCCGUGAUAUUGUGACAUCGGAUUCCAGGUAGAGAUGUGUGUUAUUUUUAUCGUACUGGUUUUGGUUAUUAUAUCAGAUUAAGUCUUCCGCUUCUUUCCAUUUACUGUUAAUAUCUAAAUGUCGAUUACCUAUUAAUUUAGAUUGUUAAAAAGGGUUUAAAACAAUGAAAGAGUUGGCAGUUUCUAUGUUUAGCGGUUUGCCUAGCUUUUAUGAGUAGGCACCAUCACGACUCCCGAGGGUGAGAAAUCUAGGUCAUGACAAGUUGGUAUCAGAGCUCUAGGUUACAUAGGUCUCACAAUUCACGGACAAGCUUAGUAGAGUUUGAGGGAUCGGUACAGAGAUGUCUGUAUUUAUCCCCUAGAAGCUACAGAGUUUGGAAAGGCUUCACAUUUAUUCUCUCCUAUCGUGCGGUUUGGUUUCUCAAUGCUAAUUAAAAUUAAAAUUUUACUCUGUUCUUUCACAGAUGGCGAGAACACGAACUUCCUCAUCCACUAACCAGCAGCCCGAGCCCCCAGCAACAGCUUCCACGAGGUGCAGAGAGCGAGGUCGAGGCCAUGCUAGAGGCCGAGGUAGGGGCAGAGCUCAGCCUAGAGCUGCAGCACCAGCGGCGGAGCCUCGGGUUGACUUUGAUGAUGAGGUUCCGGCCCAGACAAUUCCAGUGGGCCCAGCUCAGGUCCCAGAGGGGUUUAUUGCUACCCCAGUUCUUCAGGAUGCUCUGGUCCGACUAGUGGGUCUUAUGGAAAGUGUCACCUGGGCAGGUUUGCUUCAUGUAGCACCAACCGUCUCUCAGGCUGGAGGAGGAGCCCAGAAUCCUACUACUCACACUCUAGAGCAGGUAGCUCCCAAUUCCAGACUCUAGCGGUUUAGCCAGUUGGAGCAGUUCAGCCGGGUGUGGUAGCUCAGACCAGUGAUGAAGUAGUUAUGUCUGCCGAUGCCUUGUGGAGGUUGGAUAGGUUAACCAAGCUCUUCACUACUACUUUCAGAGGUGCAUCUACUGAGGAUCCCUAGGAUUGUCUAGACAGCUGUUAUGAGGUUCUCAGGAACAUGGGGAUAGUUGAGACCAAUGGGGUCGAUUUUGCUACUUUUCGCUUGUCGGGAUAUGCCAAGAUUUGGUGGAGGGAUUUCUGUUUGGCUAGACCAGCUGAAUCACCAGCUUUGACUUGGGAGCAGUUUACUCAGCUAUUUUUGGAGAAGUUUCUCCCCAUCACUCAGAGAGAGUUCUAUCGGAGGCAGUUUGAGCAUCUCCAGCAGGGUUCCAUGACUGUUACCCAGUAUGAGACCAGAUUCAUCAACUUGGCUCGUCAUGCUCUAGUCAUACUCCCCACCGAGAGAGAGAGAGAGAGAGGGUGAAGACGUUUAUUGAUGGACUUAUUCAGCCGAUUUGUCUUCAGAUGGCUAGGGAGACUGGGAGUGAGAUUACUUUCCAGGAGGCGGCCAAUGUGGCCAAGAGAGUGGAGAUGGUUUUGUCGCAGGGAGGUGGUCAUGGGUUGGACAAGAGGCCCCAUCAUUCAGGCAGAUUCAGUGGUGCCUCGUCUGGAAGUAUGGAUAUGUAUGGUAGAGGCCAUCCUCCUAGGCCCUUUUAGUCAACACUUCAGGUUUCUCACCGUGCUUCAGGUGGUCGUGGUUCUCACAUACAGUAUCCUGAUCAGUAGCCCUACAUUGCACCACCAACUCUUAUUAGUGCACCGCAGCUCCAGAGUUUUCGGGGUGGUCAUUCAGGUUGCCAGGUUCAGCCUCAGUUUCCUCAGCCACAGUACUCAGGUGGAUGUUUUGAGUGUAGUGAGUAUGGUCAUAUCAGGAGGGAUUGUCUGAGGUUGGUGGGUACUCAGUCACAGCAGCAGGGUUCCAGUGCUAUAGUUCAGGCACCAGGUGUUCCAUAGACCGCCCAGCUAGGUAGAGGUGGGGGUAGAGGUGCUAGAGGUGGAGGUAGAGGUGCUAUAGGUGGAUCUCAUACCGCUAGGGCUGGAGGCCAGACAGCAAUAGGCCGUCCCAGAGAUGUAGUUCAGGGUGGUGGGGCCUAGCCCCGAUGUUAUGCUUUUCCAGCCAAGGCCCGAGGCUGAGGUUUCUGAUGCAGUUAUCACAGGUACGGUUCUGGUUUGUGAUUGAGAUGCUUCAGUGUUAUUUGAUCCAGGGUCUACAUACUCGUAUAUGUCAACUUAUUUUGCACUGUAUCUGGUCAUGCCUAGUGAUUCUUUGAUUUCUCUUAUUUAUGUGUCUACACCGGUGGGCAAUUUUAUUGUAGUAGAUCGAGUCCAUCGCUCUUGUAUAGUCAUGAUUGGGGGUUUUAAGACUCGUAUAGAUUUGUUGUUUCUGGACAUGGUUGAUUUCGAUGUUAUACUAGGAAUGGAUUGGUUAUCACCUUACCACGCUAUCUUGGACUGUCAUGCCAAUACCAUGACCUUAGACUUACCGGGUUUACCUCAUUUAGAGUGGAGGGGGACUCCUGGUCAUUCUACCUACAGUAUUAUCUCGCAUGUGAAGGCUCGACGUAUGGUCGAGAAGGGAAAAUCAGGCUAGGAGAUGACUCGUAAUCGAUCCGGCCCUCCUCAGUAUCACCUGGUAACCGAGAACUCCUGUUUACCUUGAGACAGGUAUUCCUUCUUAUAGAUAUCACCGAAAAAGCGGAAGACUAAGAAGACUUUGUCUCGCCCACGCCCAUGUUUGGCCUAUUUGGCAUAUGUAUGUGAUUCUAGUGCUGAGAUUCCUUCUAUUGAUUCCUUGCCCGUUGUUCGUGAGUUUCCUGAGGUUUUCCCUUCAGAACUGUCGGGUAUGCCACGCGACAGGGAUAUUGACUUUUUCAUUGAUUUGGCUUCAAGCACUCAGCCCAUUUCUAUCCCGCCGUAUCUUAUAGCCCCGUCUGAGCUGAAAGAGUUGAAGGAGCAGUUGCAAGACUUGCUUGAGAAAGGUUUCAUUAGGCCGAGUGUUUCGCCUUGGGGUGCGCCAGUGUUGUUUGUUAAGAAGAAGGACGGAUCGAUGAGAAUGUGUAUUGAUUACCAGCAGUUAAACAAGGCUACGAUCAAGAAUAAGUAUCCAUUGUCGAGGAUUGAUGAUUUUUUUGAUCAGAUUUAGGGUGCUAAGGUAUUUUCGAAGAUUGAAUUGAGAUCUGGCUACCAUCAGUUGAGGAUUAGGGCAUCUGAUGUCCCUAAGAUAGCUUUUUGCACUCGGUACGGGCACUAUGAGUUCUUGGUGAUGUCAUUCGGGUUGACAAAUGGCCCAGCAACUUUUAUGGAUUUGAUGAACCGAGUGUUUAGGCCUUACUUGGAUUCGUUCGUGAUAGUCUUCAUUAAUGAUAUUUUGAUAUAUUCCCGCAGCCGGGAGGAGCACGAGCAGCAUCUUAGAGUGGUUCUUCAGACCUUGAGGGAUAGUCAGUUAUAUGCUAAGUUCUCGAAGUGUGAGUUUUGGUUGAGUUCAGUUGCAUUCCUGGGUCAUAUUGUAUUAGCAGAGGGUAUUCAGGUUGAUCUGAAGAAGAUUGAGGCAGUCAAGAACUGGCCUAGACCAACAUCGGCUACAAAUAUUCAGAGUUUAUUGGGAUUGGUAGUCUACUAUCGUCGGUUUGUGGAGGGGUUCUCAUCUAUCGUAGCCCCGAUGACCAGGUUGACCCAGAAGGGUGCCCAGUUCAGAUGGUCAGAUGAGUGUGAGGCAAGUUUUCAGAAGCUCAAGACAGCUCUGACUACGACACCAGUGUUGGUUUUUCCCAUAGGUUCAGGGCCUUAUACAAUUUAUUGUGAUGCAUCUCAUAUUGGACUUGGUGCAGUGUUGAUGCAGGAUGGAAAGGUCUUGCCUAUGCUUCGUGGUAGUUGAAGAUUCAUGAGAAGAACUAUCUGGUUCAUGAUUUGGAGUUGGCAGCCAUUGUUCAUGCAUUGAAGAUUUGGAGGCAUUAUCUGUAUAGUGUGGCAUGUGAGGUGUUCACGGAUCACAAGAGUUUUCAGUAUUUGUUCAAGCAAAAGGAGUUGAAUUUGAGGUAGAGGAUGUGAUUGGAGUUGUUGAAAGACUAUGAUAUCACCAUCUUAUAUCAUCCGGUAAAGGCUAAUGUGGUGGCCGAUGCUUUGAGUAGUAAGUAAGCCAGUAUGGGCAGUCUUGCUUAUAUUCCGGUCAGUGAGAGGCCGUUUGCUUUGGAAAUUCAGACUUUGGCCAAUCAGUUUGUGAGGUUGGAUGUUUCUGAGCCCAGUCGUGUGUUAGCUUGCACAAUUGCUCGUUCUUCAUUAUUGGAGCUUAUCCAUGAUCAACAGUAUGAUGAUCCCCAUUUGUGUAUCCUUAGAGAUCGGUGCAGCACGGAGGUGCCAAGCAGGUUACCUUAGGUGAUGAUGGAGUUUUGAGAUUGCAGGGUCGAGUUUGUGUGCCUAAUGUAGAUGGACACCGAGAGUUGAUUUUAGAAGAGGCCCAUAGCUCCCGGUACUCUAUUCAUCCGAGCACCGCGAAGAUGUAUCAAGAUUGCGGAAGCAUUAUUGGUUGUGGAGAAUGAAGAAGGAUAUCAUUGCAUAUGUGGCUUGGUGUUUGAAUUGUUAGCAGGUUAAGUACGAGCAUCAGAGGCCCGGUGGUUCAUUUCUGAGGAUUGAGCUUCCCGAGUGGAAGUGGGAGCGGACCACUAUGGAUUUCAUUGUUGGGCUCCCGCAGACUCAGAGGAAGUUCGAUGUAGUAUGGGUCAUUGUUGAUAGGCUGCCCAAGUUAGCGCAUUUCAUUCCUGUGGCAGUCUCCUAUUCUUCUGAGAGGUUAGCUAAGAUCUAUAUCCGGGAGAUUGUUUGCCUUCAUGGUGUGCCCGUGUCUAUCAUUUCGGACUGAGGUACGCAGUUUAUCUCACGCUUCUGGAGAGCAGUUCAGUGAGAGUUGGGCACGCGGGUUAAAUUGAGCACAGCGUUUCAUCCUCAGACGGACGGGCAGUCCGAGCAGACCAUUCAGAUUUUGUAGGAUAUGCUCCGAGCUUGUGUCAUUGACUUUGGAGGCUCGUGGGAUCAGUUUUUGCCUUUAGCAGAGUUUGCUUACAACAACAGCUACCAGUCGAGUAUCCAGAUGGCUCCUUAUGAGGCUUUAUAUGGUAGGCGGUGUUGGUCUUCGGUUGGAUAGUUUGAGCCGGAAGAGGCUCGGUUAUUAGGCAUGGAUCUAGUUCAGGAUGCCUUGGACAAGGCCAGGAUUAUUCAGGAUAGGCUUCGUACAGCUCAGUCCAGGCAAAGAAUUAUGCCGACCGCAAGGUNNNNNNNNNNNNNNNNNNNNNNNNNAGAAUGUGAUGACCCAAGAGAUCAUCACUUAUUUUUAAAAUGAAUUUUGCAUUUCGAGGCUUUAAAAAACCUCUUUUAGCAUCACCUCGAUUUGUGUGUGCAGUCCGGGCACGUAUCCAAAAAGCUUAUAUGUGAAGAUCUGUGAAAAAUGAUAAAUUUUGAUUAUAAAAUGAAUUAAUUUGACUUCAGUCAACGUUUUGGAUAAACGGGCCCUUACCCGUGAUUUGAUAGUCCCGGAGGGUCCGUAGGAAAAUAUGAGACUUGGGCGUGUGCCCGGAAUCGAAUUCCGAGGUCCCAAGCCCAAGAAAUGAAUUUUUUAAAGAAAAUUGUUUUCUGUAAUUGUUUAAAGGAUUUGAAAAUGAAUUUUUAUUAGAACAUGUUGGUAUCGGGCCCGUAUUUUGGUUCUGGCGCAUGGUACAUGUCUUAUAUAUGAUUUAAGAUAAUUCUAUGAAGUUUGGUAUAAAAUGGAAUCUGUUUGACAGGAUUCGGACCUUAAUUGGAAAGUUUGGUGUUUAAAGAAGUUUUGAGAAAUUUCAUUGAUAAUGAGGUUUAAUUCGAUGUUUCUGAUCUUAUUUUGGUGAUAUGAGUACACGAAUAACUCCGUGAGAUGUUUUUGAGGUUGUGUGUAUAUUUGGUUUGGAGCCCCGAGGGCUCGAGUGAGUUUUGGAUAGGCCACGAGGUGCAUUUUGAACGUAGAAAAUUAUAGAAUUUUAGCUAGUGUGCCCAGGCCUGCAGGCUUUGCAUUUGCGAAGCCUGGCUCGCAAAUGCGAAGGCUGUAUCGCAAAUGCGAAAACAGCCCAGGCCUCCCUUGCUCGCAAAUGCGAGUAUUCUUUCACAAAUGCGAAAAUCCCUAUUCAGCCUUGGGUCGCAAAUGCGACCCUGUCUUCGCAAUUCCCAGCUCGCAAAUGCGAGCCUCCCUUCGCGUUUCCCAUACCUGCAACCCACAACUUUAUACUUAGACGAUUUUUAAACCCAUUUUUCAUAUCCUCUCAAAACAUAAACACCCUAGGACGAUUUUUCAAAGGCUUCUUCCUCUCCAAAUCAAUUGUAAGUUGUUUUAAACUAGUUUUCUUCAAUCAUCAACAUCUUUUAACAAGAUUUCAACUUAAAAUCAAUGAUUUUCAUGGGGGAAAUUGGGUGUUUUGGGUAGAACCUAGGUUUUUUCAAAAAUUGGGGAUUUGGACCUCGAUUUAAGGUCCGAUUUCAAAACCAAUUAUGCAUUUGGUUUCGUGGGGAAAUGGGUAAUCUGGUUUUGGUUCGAACUUCGGGUUUUGACCAUGUGGGCCUGGGGGCGACUUUUGACUUUUUGGGCAAAACUUUGGGAAAUUUAUUAUCAUGCAUUCAAAUUGAUUCAUUUAGCGUUUAUUGAUGUAAUUAAGUAACUUGUGACUAGAUACGAGCAAAUUGGUGGUGGAAUCAAGGGGUAAAGCUAUAGUUGAA
rnacentral:lncRNA from 1 species